UACGUAGGGGCGAGCGUUGUCCGGAAUUACUGGGCGUAAAGGGCGCGUAGGCGGCCUGUUAAGUUAGAUGUGAAAUCCCCGGGCUCAACUUGGGUGUUGCAUUUAAAACUGGCAGGCUUGAGUGCAGGAGAGGAAAGUGGAAUUCCUAGUGUAGCGGUGAAAUGCGUAGAUAUUAGGAGGAACACCAGUGGCGAAGGCGACUUUCUGGACUGUAACUGACGCUGAGGCGCGAGAGCGUGGGGAGCAAACAGGAUUAGAUACCCUGGUAGUCCCU
rnacentral:rRNA from 1 species